rnacentral:rRNA from 1 species
UACGUAGGGCGCGAGCGUUGUCCGGAAUUAUUGGGCGUAAAGAGCUCGUAGGCGGCUUGUUGCGUCUGCUGUGAAAUCCCGGGGCUUAACCCCGGGCGUGCAGUGGAUACGGGCAGGCUGGAGGCAGGCAGGGGAGAAUGGAAUUCCCGGUGUAGCGGUGAAAUGCGCAGAUAUCGGGAGGAACACCUGUGGCGAAAGCGGCUCACUGGACCAUAACUGACGCUGAGACCCGAAAGCGUGGGGAUCAAACAGG